rnacentral:lncRNA from 1 species
UCAUCCUAGGAGAAGUGUAUCUUCAGAAUAUGAAUACUGGAUUACUCAAGAAGCCUUCAAAUAAUCUCAUCCUUUGAGACACUGUAUAAAAAGGCACGCUCCAGUUAUGCCUCAUAAGGAACAUGUACCAGUGUUAGAAAUGAAAACAAAACAAAACAGAAAAAGAGGUCUCCUGAGCUGACACUUCAUCAACAGCAAGCAGCAGAAACCACCUAAAAAGCUAAUACUGCAGGGUUCUGUGGUUGCCAGCCAACAAAUGGGAUCUGACACAAAAUAUUUUCAGGUCCUGCAAGCGAAGAAGGACAUUUAAGCAUGGUUUGAUUUGAACUCUCUGGAGCGUACCAGUCCAGAUGUUCCUUUCAAAAACACAGGAUUUCCAAGUACAGGGAUUCUUACUGUGGAAGCCAGAGUGGUGCUUUGCCUGCACGUCUCUACUUCAUCCACACUACUGGAAGUGCCUUUAUAACAUGACUGAUCUAAGGAAGAGUCAUCUGAUUCUACGCACAACUGAGUUGUAUCAAACAAACAAAAGAAUGAAGGCCUAAAGAUGAACAAGAGAAGGGUUAUUAAGUAAUUCAAGCAGAAUAAGCUCCUGCUAAUAGCAUCAGCUUACAGUAGAACCACCCGAACUGGAACAGAUCCUGACAGAUAUAUUGAAGAUGAGCACUGUCCACAGACUGACGUACUCAAGAUAGCAGGGCAAUUCUGUUAGGACCUGCCAUGUCUAAGGUUUGAGCAGCCCACUUCUGCCCUCCACAGAGCUGCAGACAGAACUGUAAUUAAGCAAGCAGAAAUCCUGUUCUUCAGUCUCCACAAAGCAAACUUCUAAUCCAGCUGAAGGUUUGUAGCUGCUAUGUGACGUCUCCCUGAAAAGUGGGGUUUGUUCUUGGUAUGCCUGUAAGAUGACGAAUGUGUG